rnacentral:snoRNA from 12 species
GGGAGGGCAUUAUGCCAAUAAUUGCUUUGAGAUAUAUGAAAGCUGCUUUUAGCCUUCUAAAUUAAAAGGUGGAUAGAACAGGUCUUGUUUGCAAAAUAAAUUCAAGACCUACUUAUCUUCCAACAGAA